rnacentral:rRNA from 1 species
CGUGUAGGCGGUUUGGUAAGUCUGAUGUGAAAGCCCCGGGCUCAACCUGGGAAGUGCAUUGGAAACUGUCAGACUUGAAUACGGGAGAGGGUAGUGGAAUUCCUGGUGUAGGAGUGAAAUCCGUAGAUAUCAGGAGGAACACCGGUGGCGAAGGCGGCUGCCUGGACCGAUAUUGACGCUGAGACGCGAAAGCGUGGGUAGCAAACAGGAUUAGAUACCCUGGUAGUCCACGCCGUAAACGAUGAGUACUAGGUGUUGCGGGUAUUGACCCCUGCAGUGCCGCAGCUAACGCAUUAAGUACUCCGCCUGGGAAGUACGGUCGCAAGACGUAAA